CCUGCCCUGAAGGCCGUGUUCGGUGGCUGGCCUAGCCUGAUGGGAACUUGUACAGUCAGGAAAUCUCUCCACAGCUCCAAGCCCAGAGUUCACUCCUGACGGGAACAUCCAGAGACAUCUUCAGAGAGCUUUGCUUUGACCCCCACGUCCCAACAUUUUAAGAGAAAUCAUGAGGAAAUCUCCACUCAUUCGGGUCAGCAUCACAGUUGCAGUAUGUUGCAGGAUUCCUGGGAGUCGAUGUGAUUUUUUUCUAAUACAUACACGUUUCUCAACGUUGGGCAAAUAACCUCUCCGGUAACUGUGCGCUUCGCUGGUCCU